rnacentral:rRNA from 1 species
CCCUUAGAUGUUCUGGGCCGCACACGCGCUACACUGAAGGAGGCAACGUGUACUCCUGGAUCGAAAGAUUUGGGUAACCCGCGAAUCUCCUUCGUGCUAGGGAUUGAGGUUUGCAAUUAUCCUUCAUGAACGAGGAAUUCCCAGUAAGUGCAAGUCAUAAGCUUGCGCUGACUACGUCCCUGCCCUUUGUACACACCGCCCGUCGCUACUACCGAUUGAAUGAUUUAGUGAGGACUUCGGACUGGGACCGAUGCGGCUUUCGGGCUGCGUCGGUAUUCUGGAAAGAUGUCCAAACUGUAUCAUUUAGAGGAAGUAAAAGUCGUANCA